rnacentral:lncRNA from 1 species
AACUAUACGAAAGUCUUAAGUUGUAUGAUAUAACAAAAUGAAAAACAAAUAGUUUAGUUGAACGCCUUUGUGUCAUGAGCACAUAAAACGACAAAAAAUGUAACCUUAUCAAAAAUCGUCAUCUUCCUGUAAUAUAUUUAGACACCAGAAACCGGUAAAAUGUGAUACAACUAUAACUUUGCGACGAUGAAAACUCACAGAUC